CUACGGGGUGCAGCAGUGAGGGAUAUUGCACAAUGGGGGGAACCCUGAUGCAGCAACGCCGCGUGGAGGAUGACGCAUUUCGGUGUGUAAACUCCUUUUAUAUGUCAAGAAAAUGACGGUAGCAUAUGAAUAAGCACCGGCUAACUCUGUGCCAGCAGCCGCGGUAAUACUGAGGGUGCAAGCGUUACUCGGAAUCACUGGGCGUAAAGGACGCGUAGGCGGGUUGGAAAGUCAGGUGUGAAAUCCUACAGCUUAACUGUAGAACUGCACUUGAAACUUCUAAUCUAGAGUAUGGGAGGGGGAGAUGGAAUUAGUGGUGUAGGGGUAAAAUCCGUAGAUAUCACUAGGAAUACCUAAAGCGAAGGCGAUCUCCUGGAACAUUACUGACGCUAAGGCGUGAAGGCGUGGGGAGCAAACAGGAUUAGAUACCCGCGUAGUC
rnacentral:rRNA from 1 species